rnacentral:lncRNA from 1 species
UUUCUAAUUGCCUUGAACUGAGAUUUCAUUGUGUUCCAGGACCACAGGAGGGCAAGACAGUUGCAGCCUCUCAACCAGAAAAUGGGAAAAAAAUAUGGUGGAGGGAAAAGGGAGGGUUAUCAAUCACCUGCUAAGAAUGGGAGGUGCCAGCCCAGUGUGCAUCACACAUGCAGUGGAUGUGGGAUAGGGAGACGCCGACACCAAGGCACACUUGGGCAUGUCAUCAAAUCCAAGUGGCAUGAUGAUCUCAGUAAAGCAGAAUUUUCUUUUCUUUUCUUUUUUUUUUUUUUUUUUUUUUUUACUUUUUUGCUUUUUAGAAUCACAUCCACAGCAUAUAGAAGUUCCCGGGGUCUAAUCACAGCUGUAGCUGCCAGCCUAUACCACAGCCAGAGCAAUACCAGAUCUGAACUGUGUCUGCAACCUACACCAAUGGAUCCUUAAUCCACUGAUUGAGGCUGGGGAUCGAACCCACAUCCUCAUGGAUACUAGUUGGGUUUUGGGAACUCCAAAGCAGAAUUUUCUUAAGAAGUCAAGCUCAUGAAUCUCUCCUUGAUGUAGAAGGCAUUUUAGAGACCUUCUUUAUGCCUAUUCAGGAAUAUUUACCCAUGUGCCGUAGUGCUGGUAUGUACUUGGAGGUAAAGCAUUGUUACAUCUUACUCCUUUCACCCUCAAAAUGAAAGGCUGAUUGAAUGUAGGUUUGCGAGUAAUGAGAUCUCAACUUUAGUCACAGGAGACAAAAGCAGCAGGUAACACUACCUACUUUUCAUUGCAUGUGCUACAAUGGACAGCCUUGUAGCAGGCCCAAAUCAAACACCAUUUUCCUCAGAAUGGUAUUAGAUUUUCUGCUAUGUUUAACAUUCAUUGAAUAGAAAAGAUUUUAUGACUUUUAGAAUUAAUAAAUUGAAUUUAGCUGCAAAACAUAUUAUAGUUUCAAAUAAAGUAUAGAUGUGUUCUUUUUUGUGCAAACCCUAUAUCAAAGAUUCACAUUUACAGUGAACAAAUGAAGGCACUUUUCACUUUGCAUUAGGAUGUUCCAAGGAGCAAGCAAGGUACAGCCCCACCAGACAGGAGGCUGGGGACUUGUCCUACUUGUAGAGUUAAAGGAAGAUCAUAUUCAGCCUCUCUGAGGGGUCCUUAGUGACAGAAAGGCUGGGAUGAAACUGAAUCAUACAUAUGACCCAGGAAGACUCCACAAUGGCAUCAGAGAGAACUAGACAAAGUGGAGAGUGGCUAGUUUACCACUGUUGGGUACCAAAUUACAGAAGAUGCUCACUGCCUCAGAUUUCUUCUCUCUGCUCCUACAUGGGAGCAAGAGGCUAGAAAAGGAAGGGAGAGGAGGAGCCCAGAAACCAAAUGCCCCUCCAUACACUACAAGAUGUUGGGAGUGUGUGUGGCCAAGGACAUGGACUGAAUACGUUGUGUUGCUGUAAGGACCCUGUCCAACCAAGAGCCCCAGAGUCAAUAUGAAGGAUACAGAUGCCAGGUCUUGGAAUCCAUUUCCACCUCCCAUCCUCAUCAAUGUCAAAUUCUGCCUAAGAUGACAGGAUAUUUUGAUUGUUGUUUAAAGCCACCUCGAGAGGGAAGAGGCAUAUGCCUAAGAAAAGGAGAAUUCGAAAGACUGGGGUGGAGGAGAAUCUAGGUCCUGCAGAGGGAUAGUAGUGAGGUGGCUUUGACAGUGCAGCAGAGCAUCAGGGUCAAGAAAGGGAUCACUGAAAUCCAAUUGCUUGGCUUUGAAUCCUCCAUUAGGAGGUGUUUGACACUGAGCAUACUGUGUGACACCUCUGUCCCUAAGAUUCUUCAUAUCAUAAAAAGGGGCUAUGGUAUUACCCUCCACAUAUAGUUACUGUGAGGAUGAACCCCAUCAUAUAUAUAGGGCAUUUCAAAUAGCCCUGACUUCUAUUAAGUACUCCCUCCAUGCUCAUUUUUAUUAUCAUUACUCAUGAAAAGAAAAAAUAACCUCCCAAGAAAAGCGAGAUAAGGAGUCAUCUCAAAAUCUGGAGUGAGACUGUUAAGGUUACAGUUUCCUCAGUCCCCAUUUCACCGUAGCAAAACAUUGGAAGGGUGAACACUUUACAUAUUAAAGCGAAAGUACAUUUUCAGAAAGAGAGCACACUUGGGUUCAAAAAAAAAAGAGGGCCUGACUCACUCUGCAAUUGUCUUUAUACCCCACCAUGCGGACCUGAGUGGGGACUCAAUUAGUCCUGCCCCCGACUCCAGCUCAUGCAUAAGGGCUGAGUGUUGUUUGAUCUUAUAUUUGAUCUUCUGAUUGGUCCUAGGCAGGAUGCCUUAUUUGCAUGGGGAACAGGUUAUAUAGUGGUGGGGUGAGGAGUGGGCAACAUUCCUUCUCUAGCAGGAAGUGAGCAGCCCAGGCUGGUCAAGGUGGGGGGAGGGGCAUUACAGUAUGACAGGGCCAGAGACUUUGGGGUUUAAUCUCCUUGAAGGGGACUUGAAGCCUGUAACAAGACCAGGAUUCAAAAUCCAAUCACAAGUAAACAGAAGAGGAGAGGGAGAGGGUAGGAACAGGAGGAAGGCUUUCCAUUUCAUAACAAGAUGAAUUUGAAGUGUCAGAUGCUUCUGCAUCUUGGGCCAAAAUGGGUUGUUCCUAUCUGUCCGUGAAGGGAGGUAGAACAGAACAGCACAGGCAGUACGAUAAGCUCCAAAGAGCUUGGACUGUGCUAUUCUGAAUCAUCUGUCACCUUGAUGGAACCCUUUUCAGGUGGAGAGGGGAUCUGAGCACUAUUGCCCUACUGCUAAAAAUAUCAGAUCCUGUGCCAUCCACUUGUUUGAAUAAUGAGAAGUAAUGAAAACUUUUGCUUUAUUAAGGCUAUAACCUAAGAAUGGUAAUAAUGUCUUCGAACCAUGAUGGUUGUGAUGGUUAUAAAUUGUAUCUAAAAACUUUCUUAUGAAACUUAAUCUAUGCAGUGGGGUAAGAUUCUCUGCUGAAGCUCUGAGAAAAAUGAAAGAGACAACUAAGGCAGUGUUCUUAGUGAGCACUUAAAACAGGGAUGUUCAUCAGUUCCUGGUGUGGGGGUGGGGGAGUAACUUCUUGUUAUUAGUAUUGAAGCUGAGUGGCUACAAAAAGGUUUCUGGAUCAUAUAGCCUUGAAUGUUGAAAGGCAGCAUAUAAAACUGAUUCAUUAUUAACAUAAACAAUGUAAGCUGCUCAAAAAUAUUAAUGAAAGUGUUCUAACAUGAAAUGUGAGGAUUAGAUCCAGAGGAAUGUUGACUCUUAGAAGUACAGCUGUGGGCACGACUCUCAUACUUGCUUAUGAGGCUGAAGUCGUUCCUAUAGGAAGGAAAAGAGGUACCUCAGUAGCCACAGAAUCCUUCCAUAUUCACUUCCUUAAUUCUGGUAUCUUAAUUCUGAUGAG